CGCCGGCCCGACCCCGGCCGCGCCUCCCGGCCCCCAGCUCUGCCCCAGUAGAGCCUGGGCCCCCGGAUCGGACCCCGUUGGGUGGGAAGCCCCACUCACAGCGCUCCCGAACGGUGCCCCCCUCCUCGGCCUUCCUCCUCUUUCUCAGGCCCCUCCCUCCGCCCCCGCCUCGGUCCCCUUCUCCUCCGGGCCUCCCCCGCCCCCUGGCCCUCUGAGGGGAGGCCACGCCCCUUCCCAGCCCAGCGCCUCCCCGAUCCCGACGCGCCCGGCCGCCCCACCCGCGGCGGGCAGUCCCGGCCCCUGGCUGGCAUUCCAGGGCGGGUGCAUCCGGUGCAACCGGCGAACGGCGUGGGAGCGGCUGGCGCUCCAAGGAGGCCGCUAUCAGCAGGCAGCCUGGGCCCAGGCGCUCUCUCAAAAUCCUAACGGCUGCCACCGAUUGAACCGUCGCCAGGCUCCGGGCUCCGUGCCAAGCGCUGUCAAAAGGACUGGCCCUUGAACUGGCGCAACUCUAUGCAGAUGGGACUCCUGUGGCCCCCAUUUUAGCGAUGAACAGUCUGAGGCUUAGAGAAGGGACGUGGUGGCCUCUGAGUCUGCGCUGCAGGUGAGCGGGAUCCAGCCCCGGGUCCAGAAUCACAGGCUGGCGCCGGCCCGGCUUGCCCGGACUGGCCCCUGGAGAAGAGGCCGGGCCAGUAGCGGUUGCGCCUGAGCAUUCCCCUUCCAGCAGGAGUCCGGCUUCGUCAUAGCGCACCUGGGGCACUUGGCCAGGCAGAGAGCAGAGCCGGCCCCGUGGGAGACCGCUCCCAUUUUUUGUGAAAUCCUUCGUCCAUUCCAGAGGUGAAGCCGGGAGUUCUGGAGCCCAUAAAUCUGCAGGUUGCGGGGGUGGUUCUGUGGGGAAGGCUCGGCUCUGCUCUGUGCAGUGUCAGCUGGUUCAGCCGGAGCUUGAGGAUCCAUUUUCAAGAUGGCGCAGCCACAUGGCUAGCAAGUUGGUGCUAGCUGUCAGCUGGGAGCUCGGCUCAAGCUGGGGCGCAAGGCCUUGGUUCUUCUCCAGGAGCCUCCUGCACAGGCCGCUGGGCUUCCUCACAGCAAGACGGCCGGGUUUCUAGAAUGAAGAGAGAACAAGCUAGAAGCACAUGGCAGCUCAUGACCUAGCCUCAAAGUCCUGUCGCAUCACCUCCUCUGAAUUCCGUUAGAGGAGGCGAUCACACCCCCCCCGGUGCAAGGGAAGGGGACAUGGUCUCCCUCUCUGGAUGGGGGUUGGCAAGUUCUAGAAGAGCUUUCAGGACAGAAGAUAGUGUUGCAGAUAUUCUUGCUGGCUGGAGACUCAAUCUGGAAAAUACGAUCUGCCCCAAGAGGGUCCUCAGAAUGACGAGUAGAAAUUCCUCUGGUGGGAGCUGAGAGUCUGAAUUGAGCUGAUUUAGAGAAGAAACCAUGCAAUAUCUCUCACACGACCAUUUGUGCACAAAAGAAUAAGAAGUGUGGUAGUGGACAGUGAGUCUUGAGAUUUUCCUUCUUCAGAGUGUCCUCGGGCGGAGUGGGCACCUCCCUGCCCUCCACCUGCACUGUUUCCGUGAAGCUAGAAACUUAAAUAGCACCCAUGUGAUCCUCAGAGCGGCGACCUCCUGAGGUCAUACUGUUGUGAUGCUCGCUUCCGAGAUGUGGAAAUGGAGGCACUGAGAAGGUAAGUAACCUGCCCAAGGUCAGACAACUGGUAGGUGACAGAGGAAAGAGAGAUGGCAGUUUGUAGGCACCCCAGUUUUCAGUUGCAGAAACUGAGCCCCGGGGAAAGGGCCCAAGUUGAGCAGGGCGCAGGGACCCCGAUCUGAGCACCAGCUCUGAGCCGUGUGGUCUAUCAGAGCUCCCUCCCGGGGCCUGGAAGGGACCCUGCUUCCUGCUUGAGGAAGAGGCUGGCCCGAGGAGCUGGGCUCCAGCCUUGCUUGGCACACGGGCUCGGUCCUCUUGCUGGGUCUCGGGCCGCGAGUGUUAGUAGCGGUGUCUCGAGCCCGGGUCUGUUCCUGCGGGUGAGGGGGCUCAGCAGGGCCGCGACCUUUCCUUUCUUCUCCAGAGGACUGAAGGACCUGAACUCUAAGCCCCUUGGGGCUGGGCUGGAGCUGGGACGGGACCCACGUUCCCGCCAGAGGCUGAGCCAUUGCUCCCUUCCUGUCUCGGUCACUGAACAGAGACCCUUCAGACCUCUGCUCUGAGCCCACCCUGCCGCUGCUGCAUCCGAAGGCCCAGGGCUUAAUCCCCCCAGUGCCGGCCUCGGGGCUUUCGGCUCAGUGGGGACGCUGACCAUAAACCAGUGCAGCGGUGCCCUGCCCUGCGAUGCUGCCAUACCAAUAAUGACGACAACAAUAAUAGUACAGCCUUUGUUUUCAAAGCAAACUGUUACCAUGGACCAGACAUUUAAAAAAUGACUUUGAGUAUAUUUAACUAAUUUGAUAAGAAGCCUUUGCGUUGUGCUUUUUUAAAAUUAUUUUUUAACAACUGUGGCAUUUGGGUGACUGGAACUAUGCAAUGAUGUCUCCCUACCCACAGUUCCUUGUUACAGCUGUCCUUUUCCCCGUUUGGGCAUCAGCUCUGCCCCAUGACAGGGGUUGGGCACCCCAAACAGUCGUGAGCCCACACCCCAAUGUGUGCUGAUUUAUUUAUUUAUAAUUGACAUGCACGCACGCACUAAUUUGCUAGCCAUUUUGCAUAUUCUGAACCAUACACAAAAACUUUUUAAAAACAAGAUAAAAAUGAUUUAAAAUAUUCAAUAUAAGCAAAGAUAAAGAUAAAUACAAAGCGAUCUUAUUAUUUCCUCCUUGAACCUCAGUAGAUCCCAUUGGAGACCGUCUACCGUGGCGUCCACACCCCCAGGGAAGAAUCAUUGGAGCAGAAAACAGACGGCUCCUCUGGGCAGCCAUUUUCAGGGUCUCCUGAUGCUCCGUGGUCCCAGGAAUAGAUGGGGAGAUGUUGCCGAAAGCGGGGCUCUCACCCCUUCAUUGGGUGGAGCUGCCCUGACCCAGAGAUCCUCCCCUGAAUCAGGCCCGUGGUUAGAAAGAACACUCCUGAGGCCCAAGAAGCUGACGGUGUAGUGUAGACAUCAUUCCCAUCAUACGGUUGAGAACGCCAAGGCUCAGAGAGCUGAGUGGAAAAAGUUUUGAAUUUGUCACCAGCAUUUCAGAAUUGGGGAAUUUUCACAUUAGUGUUUUAAUGUACAGCUUCUGUUGGAAACCAGAAAAGUCCAAACACCCUGAUGUGUGUCCUGACGGGGCCACAGCCGGCUGGACCCAAGUGUGGCUUCCCCUUCAGUUGUAAUGUACACCCUCCAGCUGGCCACAGUCCCCACCACUCCCUAUUGCACACCCAGCCUGCUUCCCGCGUUUCUGUGACCUGCCUGCUCCCUGUGGGCAGCUGAGUGUGCAUUCUUGGGCUCAACUGAUGUUCUUGAAUUGACGGUCGUCCUGAGAUCUCGCUGAGGAGCAGAGCCACAGACCGCUGCAGGGAGACGGAGACGCUGCGUUCUUCUCUUCCCUUCUCUCCGUGACCCCCCUGAGACAGCUGCAGUGUUAGCACAGCCCGCCCCUGUGAGCGAUGGGUUGGGCUCACGUCCCAGUCGGCUCGCUUUCCAGCCAUGGGACCUUACGCGGGCAUCUUCCCCUCGCCAGGUCUGCUUCCUGGCCUGUGAGCUGCAGGCCGCGCACACACAGCGUCUGCUGCUUUAGGGCCCUAAGAGGACCAGCUAAUUCCAGUUGGUUCCUUUCACCAUCAGAAAUGGAGAGAAAAAACCAAAACUCCUCCAUGCUCUUCCCUCCAAAACGAGCGUGUGUCGCCCUCUGGUGUCCACAGCGCUCAGUGCAGCCUCGAGAGAGGAGAGGAAAGGCUGGGGGUAGGGGGUCCCCACGGGGUCCUGCCCUCGGGUCAGCAGAGCAGAGCCCUGGCACGAGGGCCAGGCAAGCGCAGAGGGGGAUUAGUCUCUCUAGCAGGUUCCAACUGCAGAUUCCCCACCCAGCCCAGGCCAGGAAGCUUGGUGUGGGACCUAUGAGCCAACUCUGGCGGGCCCACAGUCCCUGGGGCACGUGGAGGCCUCGAGGACCCGGUGACUCUUAUUUCAUUGUGGCAAUGAAAUCAUAGUGACCACAGUAGGCUUUAUAGGCACAGGAAGUAGAGUCUGGUUGUUUAUGCAGCAAAAUUUACUAAAAGGCGCUAAUGAAGCCGCUGAGCCAUUGGGUGGGGAGUUGGGGCGGGCUGGAGGUCGGGCCUACACUCAGUUUCCAGAAGUGAGGCCUCAACUAUACCGCAGAGCCGGCCUGAGAAGACAGCUGUCACUGUCCCCAUCCUCCAUCCACUGUGCCUCCGCCCCAGGAAGGCAGCCGUGCGACCCCGGGGAGGCAGCGCCCGGAGGUCCCCUCGGCCGCACCAGCAGCACUCCAAGGCUCCUCGCAGAGCCGGUCGCCCGAGUCCAAGGCUUGCGUGGGAGAGUCAGCCCGGAGGAGCCUGGAAUGUCGCCCGCGGGCCGGCCGCCAGCAGGGCUGGGAGUUUAGAGGUCGAUGCCGACGCCCGGAGGUCGUGGCAAUGGGGGACCUCCUCACGUAUGGAAAGACCAUGCUAAAGAUGCAGGGCAGCCAUGACUGGGACACGUGUCCCCCUGCCGAUGGGGGCCCUGCGCGCUAGGCCCUGGCUUUAUCUCACCUGGCUCAGCCUGACCCUCUGAGGGAGGAGCAGUGACGGUCCCUGUCCUACAGAGAAGGAAACUGAGGCUCAGAGAGUUUAGAUAAUUUGAGUAAGACCUCACCACUGGUAAGUGGCACGGCCAGGAGCGAGCCAGGACUGCCUGACUCUGAAAUCCAAUAAACAUGCUACGCCGCCUGCCCAAAGUGCCUCCUCGGUCAGGACUCGUCGCGUUAACUGAGGACGAGCCAUGGCGUCCAGAAUGAGGGCCUGGAAAGGGCUUCAGAAGCAGCUACCUGCCCGCCUCUCCGGGCUGCCCCUUGGCCGUGUGGUCGUCACUUCUGUGCAGUCAGGCUGCAGUAACAAAGGACCCCCACGUUCUCUUGACUUGGAACCACAAAGGUGUAUUUCUCAUUUCUGUUGCGUGGCCACUGAGCACGGCCGUGGGUCGGGUGAGCCCUGCUCCUUGCGUCUCCCUCAUUCCUAGGUCCAAGGUGAAAACUUGGCCCCUAAGGGGGAGAUGCUCUUCUCAGUCGCAUGGCCCCAGAGCUUCUGCUCAGAUGCGGCGUCUGUCCCUUCCGCCCGCAUGCCAAUGGUUAGAGCGAGUCACACAGCCGAGCGACACCUCCGUGGAGGUGGGGCUGCUGGGCACAGGACAGUGGGCGGGGCUGUCUCGUCUCACAGGGACGGGAGGGGGUGACGGGGAACAAGAGCACGCCCUCAGCCCCGAGAGCUGGAUUCUAGGUCGCGGGGUUACCACAGACCCCAGUUACAGGGCAACUGAGUGAACAAAUGGUGCUUCAUGCUCUCAUUGACUAGAAUGCAUUUUUGCAUCUCACAAAUAUUGCUGAGGGCCUACUGUGUGCUGGGCAAUACUCUACCUUGGAGGAGACAGCAGUAAACAAAACAGUCAAGGGCCCUGCCCCCUUGGAGCUUCUUACCUUCCAGUGGAGGACAGAUAAUAGUAUAUAAUACGUGAGUGGUGAUAAGUGGGCUGGAGAAAAUUGAAGCACAGUGAAGGGUAGGAAGUUUCUAGAAGAGAGAGGCUGUUUUGUAUAACAGGUCAAGGAAGACCGUCUGAGGAGGUGACCUGUGAGCAGAGACCUGAAUGAAGUGAGGGAGUGAGACCUGGAGGAUACCUGGGCAGAGGAGUGGCAUGUGCAAAGGCCCUGAGGCUGAAGCAAGGUUGGAACAGAGUGUGUGAGGGCUGGUAAUAGGAAGUGAGCCAGAGAGGUGGCAGGGACAGCUGGUGGAGGGCCUUACGGGCUUGGGCUUCUGCUCAGAGGGAAGGAUGGGAGCAGGGGAAUAGCAUGACAUGACUCAUGAUUUAUGGGGUCCCUCGGGCAGCUGGGUUGAGAAUAGAGUGUAGGGGGGCAAGGUUAGAAGAGGGGGAACCAGUGAGGAGGCCACCGCAAUAAUCCCGACCUGGCCCACGGUGGCCCACUGAGCAUUCAGAAGCACUUUUGUCAAUUUAUUUAUAUUCCCCAGAGCAGCCCACAAUCACGAGGAGAGGAGACGAGAAGGCAUCGCCGAUAAAGGCAAGAGGAUGGAACUGUGGCAGACAGAGACAGGGAAAUUCUAUCUCUGAAAAGCCCAGUUACAAAAGCUCCAGUGAGCACGAAACUGAGGGCUGGAAAUGUGGCAAUAGUCUGGCUCCGUGCUCUCCGGAGCCAGCUGUGCGGUGACGACAUCUUCACCCUGUGUGGACGUGCCUGGGCUCCCCUGGGCUGGCUCAGCGGGGAGGGGCUUCGGGCCGCACGACCCCUUCCCCCGGCAGCUCUGCUCUCAACUGUUUCCAACUGUAUAUCAGAAUAAGAUUUCUUCCAAAGAAAGGGUGAUAGACACACACCCCCCAUGAAAAGAUUGGAACAUUUUGAAAAAAAUGUUUACCGAAAAUGUGCUCUCUGACUAAUGAACAGGAAGCCUGCUCUGAUGUUUCUGUAGGAAAACGGCAUAAGAACGUUUGCGCUUCCGGGGGAUCCGGUGAGAAGACUCGAGCGAGCGGUAAUUGCAUCUCGAUGGUUCUUCCUGAAGGUGGACAUCCAGAGUCCACGCUGCGUGGUGGGCCAGGAACCACUGCUGUCGUCUUCCCCACGCUGUGAGGUGUGAAUGUUUUGUAUGAAAGAGGAAAACCCUGUGGAGAAAGAAGGUGAGCCAGGAGACCGAGGAAAUCUAAUCCAGAAAAUAAUCUAGAAAGUUUGCCAAUGAAAGAAAUGAACGGAUGAGGCCAUUCGCUGGCCGCUCGUGUGGCUCCAUCUCCGGCACAUAGUUUUUUCCAUGUAUGAGAAAACAACGAUUAUAAACGUGUUGUUGGUUCUGGAAAUCAGCACAUUCUUGAGCCCAACGUGGGGUUUUUGG